ACAGUGAGACAGACAAACAGACACUGGAUUUGGUGCUCUCUAGAAAAUUAAAUCCAUCUCAGAAUGCUGGCACUAGCCGGCCAGAGUCUCCCAUGUGUUCCAGCAAAGAUGCUGCCUCAUCUCCUCAGGUAUGCCAGGAAGCUGUGAAAUCACAGCCUGCCAUGCAGCCCAGCACACUUGGCUUUCUGAUUGUGAAGGAGGAAACUGCACAGAUCACCUGCCCAAAGCCCACAGCUAAUUCAUAACCAAGCUUUCAGUUUUGACCUCAGUCUAGAAUUAUUUACACUAAGUUGUACUGAUGAUCAAAGUACUUAAAGCUUAUCUUGCUUGCCACUUUUAAAAUUUAAGUUAAUUGUAAGAUUUUCCUUUUCAGUUUGCUCACUAACCAGAAGACAUAUCCAGCCCCACAUAACUUUGGAAGAUACUUGAUUUUAUCUGAAAUGUACUAGGACAUUCUUGUUAAAAAUGUGUUUGGGGCAGAUUGAAAAGGGGCGUUACUUUAAAGUUGUUGUUUUUUUUUCCAAUUUAACCAUAAUCAGAAGACCUGUAAUCAGACUCCAUUCUAGUUUAGAAUCAUCUCAGUGUAACAUAUCUGACAGUUUUUGUGUCCUGGGUGCUU
rnacentral:lncRNA from 1 species